rnacentral:rRNA from 1 species
GAUGAACGCUGGCGGCGUGCCUAAUACAUGCAAGUCGAGCGAACUGAUUAGAAGCUUGCUUCUAUGACGUUAGCGGCGGACGGGUGAGUAACACGUGGGCAACCUGCCUGUAAGACUGGGAUAACUUCGGGAAACCGAAGCUAAUACCGGAUAGGAUCUUCUCCUUCAUGGGAGAUGAUUGAAAGAUGGUUUCGGCUAUCACUUACAGAUGGGCCCGCGGUGCAUUAGCUAGUUGGUGAGGUAACGGCUCACCAAGGCAACGAUGCAUAGCCGACCGGGGAGGGGGAGCGGCCACACUGGGACUGAGACACGGACCAGACUCCGACGGGAGGCAGCAGUAGGGAAUCUUCCGCAAUGGACGAAAGUCUGACGGAGCAACGCCGCGUGAGUGAUGAAGGCUUUCGGGUCGUAAAACUCUGUUGUUAGGGAAGAACAAGUACGAGAGUAACUGCUCGUACCUUGACGGUACCUAACCAGAAAGCCACGGCUAACUACGUGCCAGCCGCCGCGGUAACAC